AGCGAACGCUGGCGGCAGGCCUAACACAUGCAAGUCGAACGAAGUCUUCGGACUUAGUGGCGGACGGGUGAGUAACACGUGGGAACGUGCCUUUAGGUUCGGAAUAACUCAGGGAAACUUGUGCUAAUACCGAAUGUGCCCUUCGGGGGAAAGAUUUAUCGCCUUUAGAGCGGCCCGCGUCUGAUUAGCUAGUUGGUGAGGUAAAGGCCCACCAAGGCUACGAUCAGUAGCUGGUCUGAGAGGAUGACCAGCCACAUUGGGACUGAGACACGGCCAAACUCCUACGGGAGGCAGCAGUGGGGAAUCUUGCGCAAUGGGCGAAAGCCUGACGCAGCCAUGCCGCGUGGAUGAUGAAGGUCUUAGGAUUGUAAGAUCCUUUCACCGGUGAAGAUAAUGACUGUAGCCGGAGAAGAAGCCCCGGCUAACUUCGUGCCAGCCGCCGCAGUAAUAC
rnacentral:rRNA from 1 species